GCGCCUCGGCGGCCCGGGCCAGGGCCACCAACGGCUCCCCCUCAGCCGCCAACGGUUCCUCCUUAGCUUCCAACGGCUCCCCCUCAGACACCAGUGGCGUAUCCCGAGCCUCCAAGGGAUGCCCCUCGGCCCCCAGAGGGUCCCACUAAGCCGCCAGCAGCUCCCCCUCAGCACUGUCCCAGUGAGAAGCGAGCCCCGCACUGCUUUUUGUGUGCUCCUUCAGGAAAUGGCCAGUUUUUCGAUAGGCACUGCCAUUUCAACCCCCUUUUGCUUAAAUCACUUCUGGACUUGGGGCUACAGGUGAUUUAACAGAGGAGGGACAGAUUGUGGUGAUAAAGUGGAAGUGAAAUCCCAGCCCCAUUUGCAACAGCAGGGAAAUGGGGGAGCACUCUAGGAACAGUCCCACAAAGUCCCACAGUCCCUCUGUGUGCAAGGUUUGCGUGCUGAGAAUGUGUUUUGGUAGUACCUUGAAAUAGCACUCAGCACCCAAAGGAUGAUGUGACACUGCUACAUGCACCAGGAGGGACUGCUGUGUAGCAGGAUAGGCACCAGUCUUCUGCUCUCAAGCACAUGAUUUAAAAAUAAAUAAGUACAUAAAUAAAUAAAUAAAUUGUCACUAUAUGAGAACUACAGAGGUUGCACGUGAAUAAGAGUUCAUCAUUAAGCCACUGAGAAAUAAUCCUGUGGCUAAUAAUAUUUUCUUUCUAAUGAGAUCACCUCGCACUCACUGGCAUUGGUACAAACAUUCACAGCUAAGUGCUCAAAAGAGGUUGAAGCACAAACUGUAUAUAAUUCACCGCUUGAGAAAACAUUGUUUCAGCACAACACAAUGCGAGAUACACUCAAGUAUUCCUCAGACCGGAAGAGCAUACCGCAGUCAGGCUGAAGUGACUGUUUAUAUCAACCUGAUUGCACUUGUUCUUUAGUAAAGCUAAAAGCUCUCUGCAUUAUAAGCCCAUCUUCUCAGCUCUGAGGACCUCACAUGUAAGGGACAAAACCUAAGUUGUGUGAUGCCAACACUAUGUGUGCUUGCAUGUGCAAUAUUACAGAUCAGCAGUCCAAAACACUUCAGUCUUUGGUUGGUGUGAAGGGGUGCUACUGAAACAUGUCUGCCCUGAUUUAUCACGAAUCCUCACAGAAGUUCCCCAUCACAACACUUUUGCCGUGGUCCAUAGCCAAAAGGUGGCAGUGUUCCAUCCAUCAUCCACCUCCCACACAACACACAGGCAGGCACCUGCCUGCUACAAUGUCGUUCACUCUGUCUGGGCAGCAUAGUUCUUGUGCUGCUUUUCCUUGUGAAGAAUAACUCUUUCCAGUGGACUCAAACAUAAAUGAAUUAAAUAGACACUUAGAUGAACCUGAAGAACAGAAAACCAGCUUACUGGUUUUCACAGAUACUCUUACCUCCUGGCUUUUUUGGGAUGUACCAAAACAAAUUUGUUCAGCCCACAGUUUGGUUUUCUUGGUUUCAUGUCAAAAUAGAAAUACGGAAUUUAAUGGAAUUUGAGACUUGAUGACUAAGUGCACGGUUUCAGAAAUAGAGUGUAUUUCUUGUAUGAAGAAAAGGAUAAUGCAGAAGUAAAGGCUAUCCAAGGCACAUUGUCAUAUAUACACUGAAUAACAGUAACACUUUUCACAUAAAUAUAUACACACACAUAUGUAAAUAUGCAUGCAUAUACAUUAAAGCACUUUUCAUUACAGAUAGCAAAUUUGACUUUUUAACAAAAAAUAUCAUCUGUGAAAAAAUACUUUUUUAAAUUGCAAAAUAAAUUAAUUUAUCCAGUAAUUUCUUAAAUAACAAAUAAAUCUCCUCUUCAAAAAGCAAAAAACAAACAAACAAACAAAAAAACCAAAAAACACCACCAAAAAACAAAAACAAAUCCAGUCAGAUCAUUUAGUUUCCUGUGAAAAUCCAUAAAAACAAUAGAAAAAAAUAGAUCCAAAAUAAAUUCUUCCUUAUGUAUUUAAUGGGAGAAGUCUAGUCUUAAUAGCUUAGUUUCUAAACAGGAAUCAUCAUCCUUUUUAUGGCUGUAGGAUACUAGAGAAUGGAGAAGCACACAAAUUCAAAUACUGAGUCAAGGGCACAGUAAUGAGUAGAGCAUAGUCUGUUCUCUGUCUGCUUUCCAGUACCCUGUAAUACUCUACUGUGUAAUUUAAUCUAGUAAAGUUUGCAGCCUUAAAUAUCAGCAUGGACACAAAAUAUUGUUGGUGCGUCAGCCUUAGAAACUAUUGCACUUUUCUUAAAAUGUUGGCAGUUUUCUGGUUCUCCUUUUCCCCUCCAGCAGAGAAGAACAGAGGAAUAGAACCUGUUUCUCCCAUGCAUGAGUAGCUCAAUGGAAGGGAAAAAAAAAAAAAAAAGCAAACUGAAAUUGCAAGGAUAAAAUUAGGGAUGAAGACACUGAUAAAUGCCUUCAUUGAUUAAUCUGAGAAUUAUUAUUACAUAGGCUUUUAAAAUACACGUUUACACUGGGUGCUGUAUGGGGAUAUGGGAUGAUUCCUUUUGGCUUGGCCAUAAGAAACGUUCUGCCAACUAGAAGAGAGGGAAGGAAUUUUAGCAAUAGUCACUCUUGCCCGGUCUACUUACUUUGACAUCAGCCUUUACCAUAAGGGGCCUCAAGGCAUUUGGAGCUGUGUGUGGGGUCAUUUAACUCACACUUACCUCUUUCCUCCGAGAGAUGUCAGAAGAAACCAUUUUAUAUGCGUUAUCUUAAAACCUACACCUAACUUUUCAGCCAUCAGCUUUGUCCAAGAACAGUCUCAGCUUGGCAAUUGUUACAUAGCCCUGAAUUCUACAUUCCCUUUGUUCUUCCUUCCCUACUACAUUUGAGUAUUUGGAAACUUCCUCAAGAUCAAAUGCUGAGCUGAGUAUUAGGCAGCACAGAAAGCCCCAAAGCCAAAGACACCCCCAUGAAUCAGAGAAGGAUUGCACCACUGCGAAAAGAUUCUGUCAAGAGGAUCUGUACUGUUCUUCAGUGUAUAGGAGCUUCCAGCGAGCAUGCCGGGCAGAGGCAGCAAAAUGUAGGAUGGGCAGCCAGGAAUGUGUGUCAGCGUGGAAAGAACUGAGGAAAACAGUGCUGGGAGAGUGCAAGUGCUCGGAGCCACUUCAAAGGAGAUGCCUUAGAAUAUGGAAAGGAAUAUUUAUCUCUGUGUUUGGAUCAACGUGACCACCUGAAGAAUUGCCAGAGGAAUUUAAAUAAAAAAGUUCCAGCCAUUAAAGGCAACGCUGUAAACAAUAUCAAAAGCUAAAACGUUCUCAGUUUUCAAGCACUGAAAAAGGUAGUGUUCUCUACUCCGAUAUUUUACUGCUGGGAUUGGUUGCCAUUCAUAAGACAAGCUAGAAAUGAAAGUUUCCAUUGAAAAUCUAGUGUGGAGAAAAGGAAAAUUGCUUUUGGAAUGGUGAUUUUUAGUAUAUAAAUACCAAGUGUAGAGUUUUUUCUCAAGCUGUAGGGUAGUUUCUUCUCUUAGGAGCUUAAAUGAUGAAUUUAAUGAAUACAGUAACCUGCAUUUGAGUAGCAGCACGAGUUAUCCAUUAAUGUUGGAACUGAUAUUGCUAAGCUAGUAAUCCAGUGCUUAGAAUCUAGUGUAUAUUACCAUCUAAGAUCACUGUGCAGCCAAUGAAGAUAGUUAAACACCCUUGGAUAAUUAAUCCAAUGCUAGAGGAGGCAUUAAGGGGUGGAAUGACUUGCUCUCUGGAGAUUCCUGUCUCACCUUAUGAACUGCAGGGUCAGCUCCAAGAACAACCAUAUAACUUAUAGGUGCCUAUUACCAGGUGAAGGGAAUUCUUCAGGGAUUCUACAGCUAGCUUCCUAAGUAAGAAAUUGAAGUAACUACUAAUUUUUCAGGUGGUGUUUUAUAUUCACUCAGAAUGCUUAAUAUCCUGGAUACAUUUAUUUCUGGAUAUUCUCAAACCCUUAUGUCAUUUUAACUUAGUCUGAAAGAAGAAAGGUUUCAGUCCUCUGGAGCAGGAAUAUGCAAGUUAGACAAGGGACUUCACACAUGAGGAAGUUAUGUUUGCGUUUCAUGGUGUUACACAGAACUCUGAAAAUUCUGCUAAUGAUGCCUUUAAAAAGGCAGUCAUAUGUUUUAUCUCACAGUUAAUGGCAUAGUAGGACUGUCUGGUAAGUAGGGACUGAUGUUCAGAUAUUAUUGAUAAAGAUUUUACAGUGAAAUGAGUCAUUUACAAUAUUUUUCUGUGUGAUGUGUCACCUUUAUUGGCUGUUUCAAAAAGGUUUUGUACGUGAUUCAAUAUUUAGUAUUCUUUUUUUUCUUAUUUAAUAGACCUUUUACAUUUACUUGUUCAACUGAUUUUCUGUAUCUUGAAUCUGUGAUCUAAUUUCAGUUAAGAUUGUUAAAACUGUUAAAAUGGAAGUCUGCUUAAGGGAAAGAGAUGAGAAUAAUAAAAUUAUUACAAAUUCUGAAGGAAGUGGUAGAUGGAUGAGAGACCAAAAUUAGGCAGACUUUCUGAAGGAAUAAACUGUGUAUUGCAACA